rnacentral:rRNA from 1 species
CAAGUCGAGCGGAGACAGUGAGUAGCUUGCUAUGAGCUGUUUUAGCGGCGGACGGGUGAGUAACGCGUGAGCAACCUUUCCCAGACAGGGGAAUAACACACCGAAAGGUGUACUAAUACCGCAUAAGACCACGGGAUCACAUGGUUCUGGGGUAAAAGAUUUAUCGGUUUGGGGUGGGCUCGCGUCCGAUUAGGUAGUUGGUGAGGUAACGGCCCACCAAGCCGACGAUCGGUAGCCGACCUGAGAGGGCGAUCGGCCACAUUGGGACUGAGACACGGCCCAAACUCCUACGGGAGGCAGCAGUGGGGAAUAUUGGGCAAUGGGGGGAACCCUGACCCAGCAACGCCGCGUGGAGGAAGAAGGUUUUCGGAUCGUAAACUCCUGUCCUUGGAGACGAGUAGAAGACGGUAUCCAAGGAGGAAGCCCCGGCUAACUACGUGCCAGCAGCCGCGGUAAUACGUAGGGGGCAAGCGUUGUCCGGAAUAAUUGGGCGUAAAGGGCGCGUAGGCGGCUCGGUAAGUCUGGAGUGAAAGUCCUGCUUUUAAGGUGGGAAUUGCUUUGGAUACUGUCGGGCUUGAGUGCAGG